AUUGAACGCUGGCGGCAUGCCUUACACAUGCAAGUCGAACGGUAACGGGCCUUCGGGUGCCGACGAGUGGCGAACGGGUGAGUAAUGUACCGGAACGUACCUUUCAGUGGGGGAUAACGUAGCGAAAGUUACGCUAAUACCGCAUAUUCUGUGAGCAGGAAAGCAGGGGAUCGCAAGACCUUGCGCUGAUUGAGCGGCCGAUAUCAGAUUAGCUAGUUGGUGAGGUAAAGGCUCACCAAGGCGACGAUCUGUAGCGGGUCUGAGGGGAUGAUCCGCCACACUGGAACGGAGACACGGUCCAGACUCCUACGGGAGGCAGCAGUGGGGAAUUUUGGACAAUGGGGGCAACCCUGAUCCAGCCAUGCCGCGUGAGUGAAGAAGGCCUUCGGGUUGUAAAGCUCUUUCGGCCGGGAAGAAAUCGUAUCAGCUAAUACCUGGUGCGGAUGACGGUACCGGCAUAAGAAGCACCGGCUAACUACGUGCCAGCCGCCGCGGUAACAC
rnacentral:rRNA from 1 species